rnacentral:rRNA from 1 species
UGCGUAGGCGGAAACUUAAGUCGGAUGUGAAAGCCCCGGGCUCAACCUGGGAACUGCAUUCGAUACUGGGUUUCUAGAGUAUGGUAGAGGGAAGUGGAAUUUCCGGUGUAGCGGUGAAAUGCGUAGAUAUCGGAAAGAACAUCAGUGGCGAAGGCGGCUUCCUGGACCAAUACUGACGCUAAGGUACGAAAGCGUGGGGAGCAAACA